rnacentral:rRNA from 1 species
CUGCUCAAUGAUUUUUUAAAUUGCUGUGGUAUUUUGACUAUACAAAGGUAUUGUAAUAAGAUUUUAAUUGAAUGCUAAGRGAAUGGAACUACAAGGRGGAGCUAUUUUAAACUUAAAAAUUAAAGUUAUUUUAAUUUGUGAAGAAACAAYUAUUAAAAUUAAGGACAAGAAGACCCUAAGAAUUUURAAAUCAAUAAUUUUUUAUUAUAAAAGCUUAUUGAUUUUUAGUUGGGGCAACUAAAAAAUAUUAUAAACUUUUUUAUAAAUAAAAUGAUCCAUUAUUAAUGAUAAUUUGGAAAAAAUACUCUAGGGAUAACAGCGUAAUAAUUUUUGAUAGAACGUAUAGACAAAAUAGUUUGCGACCUCGAUGUUGGAUUAGGAUUCUUUUUUAAUGAAGAUGUUAAAAGAAGAAGUUUGUUCAACUUUUAAAGUCCUGCUUGAUCUGAGUUCAGACCGG